UAACAUCGAUCUCUAUUAUUAGUGUGUAACUUUUUUCUUGAUAUUAUAAAUUCUGUAUUAUGUCCAUAAUUUACUUUUCGCUUCGAGCCUAUGAAAUGUAAUAUUUGAGAAAUUAAUAGUUUAAGACGAGUGGUUGAAAUACCUGACCCACAUUCACGAGGAUGGUAGUUUGCGAUAUGAUGAUAGAUGGUGCGUGCCUAACGACCCAGACUUACGUACUCGUAUUUUUAAAGAGGCGCAUAGUUCAUGUUUCUCCAUACAUCCAGGCACUGACAAGCUGUAACAAGACCUCAGGAGAACAUUUUGGUGGCAUGGUAUGAAAAAGGACGUCGCUAACUUUGUUGCCAAAUGCUUGACGUGCCAGAAGGUCAAGAUAGAUCACUGUCAACCUCAAGUUUGCUUCACCCGUUGCCGAUAUCUGAGUGAAAGUGGAAAUCGAUAUUUAUGGAUUUUGUGUGUGGGAUACCGAGGACUACGAAGGGCAAUAAUAUGAUUUGAGUCAUAGUUGAUUGACUGAGCAAAUCGACGCAUUUCAUCCCGAUGAAGGAUACCUGGAACAAACAUCAGUUGGCUUUAGCAUAUCGACAGCAAGUGGUGAGACAUCACGGGAUUCCACGAGACAGUUUCAGAUAGAGAUGCUAGGUUUUUGUCUAAUUUUUAGCAAAAGCUACAGGAUUCUUUAGGUACUGAGUUGAGAAUAAGCACAACGUUUCACCCAGCUACAGAGUUGACUAUACAGACACUUGAGAAUAUGUUACGAGCAUGUGUCUUAGAUUUUAGGGGUUCAUGGGACGAUAAGUUGGACAUGAUUGAGUUCUCGUAUAACAACAAUUAUCAUUCCAGUAUCGAGAUGGCACCAUUCGAGGCACUCUAUGGUCGUAGUUGUCGUAGCCCUGUAAGUUGGGAUGAUAGUUCGGAUACGGUAGUUGUGAGACCGCCUUUGAUUCAGGAGAUGAUCGAACAAGUCCAGUUGAUACGCAAGAGGAUGAAAGCAGCUUAGGAUAGGCAAAAGAGUUACGCAGAUCAACGACAUCGACCUCUUGAGUUUCAAGUUGGAGAUAAAGUCUUCCUUCGAGUUUCACCAACUUGAGGUGUAAUGAGGUUUGGAAUGAAGGGUAAGCUCAGUCCAAGAUUCAUUGGACCCUAUGAGAUCCUUGAGCGGAUAGGCGAGGUAGCUUAUUGACUUGCGUUACCUGCGUCUAUUGACCGAGUGCAAGACGUGUUUCACGUAUCCCAACUGAGACAGUACAUCAAGGAUGAUUCACACGUUCUUCAGCCCGAACAGUUGAACUUAUACGACACCUUACAGUAUGAGGAGACUCCCGUUUAGAUUCUAGAUAGGAAGACACAUGAUACACGUCGGGGUAGUGUAGUGCUUGUGAAGGUAUUAUGGUCUAAUCACGUCACCGAAGAAGCCACGUGGGAAGCUAAAGAUGCCAUGAGACGCGAUUAUCCCUAGUUGUUUGCUCAGCAGGCAACGUCAUCGAGGAAACUUUCUAGUGAUCGCGGAGAAACGGACUUAGCUUCUUGAACCGUCUUUGAUUGUUUACAGAUCGGAACCGGUCGCGAACGAUGGGUUAGUGGUGUUGGUUAAAGUUCCCAGGAUGUUAUAUUGAGUUGAGCACGUGGGAAUUUGUAGUUUUGUAUUAGGUUUUAAUAAAUGUAUCUUAGACUUGGUUAUGUUGGUUAUAUUGGACAUAAAGUAAAUUGUAUGAUUACCUUGUGUUGUAGUUAGAUGUUUGGUUUGAGAAUUAGCUGAGUUAGUUAUAUUAUAGAGCUGGUGACUCUUUUGCUCAUGUUUUGAA